rnacentral:rRNA from 1 species
AACGAACGCUGGCGGCGUGCUUAACACAUGCAAGUCGAGCGGUAAGGCCCUUUCGGGGGUACACGAGCGGCGAACGGGUGAGUAACACGUGGGUGACCUGCCCUCAGCUCUGGGAUAAGCCUGGGAAACUGGGUCUAAUACUGGAUAUGACUCCACGGUGCAUGUCGUGGGGUGGAAAGCCUUGUGCGGCUGAGGAUGGGCCCGCGGCCUAUCAGCUUGUUGGUGGGGUGANGGCCUACCAAGGCGACGACGGGUAGCCGGCCUGAGAGGGCGACCGGCCACACUGGGACUGAGACACGGCCCAGACUCCUACGGGAGGCAGCAGUGGGGAAUCUUGCGCAAUGGGCGAAAGCCUGACGCAGCGACGCCGCGUGAGGGAUGACGGCC